rnacentral:rRNA from 1 species
CGUGAUAUCCUGUCUGAAUAUGGGGGGACCAUCCUCCAAGGCUAAAUACUCCUGACUGACCGAUAGUGAACCAGUACCGUGAGGGAAAGGCGAAAAGAACCCCUGUGAGGGGAGUGAAAUAGAACCUGAAACCGUGUACGUACAAGCAGUAGGAGCACCUUCGUGGUGUGACUGCGUACCUUUUGUAUAAUGGGUCAGCGACUUAUAUUCAGUGGCAAGGUUAACCGUAUAGGGGAGCCGUAGCGAAAGCGAGUCUUAACUGGGCGCUCAGUCUCUGGAUAUAGACCCGAAACCGGGUGAUCUAGCCAUGGGCAGGUUGAAGGUUGAGUAACAUCAACUGGAGGACCGAACCGACUAAUGUUGAAAAAUUAGCGGAUGACUUGUGGCUAGGGGUGAAAGGCCAAUCAAACUCGGAGAUAGCUGGUUCUCCCCGAAAGCUAUUUAGGUAGCGCCUCGGACGAAUACUACUGGGGGUAGAGCACUGUUAAGGCUAGGGGGUCAUCCCGACUUACCAACCCUUUGCAAACUCCGAAUACCAGUAAGUACUAUCCGGGAGACACACGGCGGGUGCUAACGUCCGUCGUGGAGAGGGAAACAACCCAGACCGCCAGCUAAGGUCCCAAAGUAUUGCUAAGUGGGAAACGAUGUGGGAAGGCUCAGACAGCUAGGAUGUUGGCUUAGAAGCAGCCAUCAUUUAAAGAAAGCGUAAUAGCUCACUAGUCGAGUCGGCCUGCGCGGAAGAUGUAACGGGGCUAAGCA